rfam:Citrus sinensis cultivar Ridge Pineapple sweet orange scaffold00346_contig_20, whole genome shotgun sequence.
UUUGAGAGGAAUGUUGUCUGGUUCAAGAUCAUGGAGGAAGAAUAAAUAUCGGAACCCUAAAUGAUUCUUGGACCAGGCUUCAUUCCACUCAAC